rnacentral:rRNA from 1 species
AUUGAACGCUGGCGGCAGGCCUAACACAUGCAAGUCGAGCGGAUGAAGGGAGCUUGCUCCUGGAUUCAGCGGCGGACGGGUGAGUAAUGCCUAGGAAUCUGCCUGGUAGUGGGGGAUAACGUCCGGAAACGGGCGCUAAUACCGCAUACGUCCUGAGGGAGAAAGUGGGGGAUCUUCGGACCUCACGCUAUCAGAUGAGCCUAGGUCGGAUUAGCUAGUUGGUGGGGUAAAGGCCUACCAAGGCGACGAUCCGUAACUGGUCUGAGAGGAUGAUCAGUCACACUGGAACGGAGACACGGUCCAGACUCCUACGGGAGGCAGCAGUGGGGAAUAUUGGACAAUGGGCGAAGGCCUGAUCCAGCCAUGCCGCGUGUGUGAAGAAGGUCUUCGGAUUGUAAAGCACUUUAAGUUGGGAGGAAGGGCAGUAAGUUAAUACCUUGCUGUUUUGACGUUACCAACAGAAUAAGCACCGGCUAACUUCGUG